rnacentral:lncRNA from 1 species
UCAACAUCUGAACCAAAAAGCUGCAUUUACUACAGUACUUACUUAAGGGAGGUGGAGCUGGGCCUGUUAGGUGCAAUCCCUACACCAGCUGAGCCGGGAGAUCUGAACAUCAGGCAAUGAGUUUGCAAGAUGGUUUAACAACUAUGAACAUGUGGUGUCCUCACAGGAAUCCUGUGGGCUGAACAGCAGCCGCCCCUCCUUCCACCCAGCACAAAACUUGGUUUGCCCCGCUCACUCUAAAUCUGGGCCUUCAAUGAAUGUUCAGUGGAGUUCUUCUGUGGAAAAAAAUAAAUGGGAAAGGAAGGCUGGAGAGGCCUUUAUUAGCCUAAGGGGCAGUGGAGGGUAAAAGG